rnacentral:rRNA from 1 species
CAGGCUUAACACAUGCAAGUCGAGGGGCAGCAUGGUCUUAGCUUGCUAAGGCCGAUGGCGACCGGCGCACGGGUGAGUAACACGUAUCCAACCUGCCGUCUACUCUUGGACAGCCUUCUGAAAGGAAGAUUAAUACAAGAUGGCAUCAUGAGUCCGCAUGUUCACAUGAUUAAAGGUAUUCCGGUAGACGAUGGGGAUGCGUUCCAUUAGAUAGUAGGCGGGGUAACGGCCCACCUAGUCUUCGAUGGAUAGGGGUUCUGAGAGGAAGGUCCCCCACAUUGGAACUGAGACACGGUCCAAACUCCUACGGGAGGCAGCAGUGAGGAAUAUUGGUCAAUGGGCGCAGGCCUGAACCAGCCAAGUAGCGUGAAGGAUGACUGCCCUAUGGGUUGUAAACUUCUUUUAUAAAGGAAUAAAGUCGGGUAUGGAUACCCGUUUGCAUGUACUUUAUGAAUAAGGAUCGGCUAACUCCGUGCCAGCAGCCGCGGUAAUACGGAGGAUCCGAGCGUUAUCCGGAUUUAUUGGGUUUAAAGGGAGCGUAGAUGGAUGUUUAAGUCAGUUGUGAAAGUUUGCGGCUCAACCGUAAAAUUGCAGUUGAUACUGGAUAUCUUGAGUGCAGUUGAGGCAGGCGGAAUUCGUGGUGUAGCGGUGAAAUGCUUAGAUAUCACGAAGAACUCCGAUUGCGAAGGCAGCCUGCUAAGCUGCAACUGACAUUGAGGCUCGAAAGUGUGGGUAUCAAACAGGAUUAGAUACCCUGGUAGUCCACACGGUAAACGAUGAAUACUCGCUGUUUGCGAUAUACGGCAAGCGGCCAAGCGAAAGCGUUAAGUAUUCCACCUGGGGAGUACGCCGGCAACGGUGAAACCCAAAGGAAUUGACGGGGGCCCGCACAAGCGGAGGAACAUGUGGUUUAAUUCGAUGAUACGCGAGGAACCUUACCCGGGCUUAAAUUGCAGAUGAAUUACGGUGAAAGCCGUAAGCCGCAAGGCAUCUGUGAAGGUGCUGCAUGGUUGUCGUCAGCUCGUGCCGUGAGGUGUCGGCUUAAGUGCCAUAACGAGCGCAACCCUUGUUGUCAGUUACUAACAGGUUCCGCUGAGGACUCUGACAAGACUGCCAUCGUAAGAUGUGAGGAAGGUGGGGAUGACGUCAAAUCAGCACGGCCCUUACGUCCGGGGCUACACACGUGUUACAAUGGGGGGUACAGAGGGCCGCUACCACGCGAGUGGAUGCCAAUCCCAAAAACCUCUCUCAGUUCGGACUGGAGUCUGCAACCCGACUCCACGAAGCUGGAUUCGCUAGUAAUCGCGCAUCAGCCACGGCGCGGUGAAUACGUUCCCGGGCCUUGUACACACCGCCCGUCAAGCCAUGGGAGCCGGGGGUACCUGAAGUGCGUAACCGCGAGGAGCGCCCUAGGGUAAAACUGGUGACUGGGGCUAAGUC